ACAAGUGACUCACUAAGUCUGACAACACAUGUGACUCACUAAGACUGACAACACAAGUCUCAACCAUAUCCUAUUUUGUGUACAUUAAACAAAACUGUCAACAGAGUGUAAAAAAAAAGUUCUUGCCAUGCAUUCAUUAAAACAUCAUAUAUACAAAACAUAAUAUCAAAGAUUUUUUAUUUUCUAUGCAGCUCACUCAAUGAGUCUUAUAACUGUUAUGAGUAUGUAUGUUUGUAAUUUUUUUGUAUGUUUUUUUUUUUAAUGCUUA